UUUUUUUUUACGUUCUCAUUUUUUGCCGUUUUUUAAUCUAUCUCUUUCAUUCCUUAACAGCCGACAUUUUUUCCCCCUUCAUUUUUCCGUCGUUCUUUAAGUUUCUCAUUUGAUUUGUGUUUAUUUUCUUACCUCUGGAACGUGCCUUCAAAACAUUCCCUCCCAUAUCUGUCUGUCUGUCUAAUGUCUUUUAAAACUACAAUUGCCUUCCAUCCUGUCUGUCAAUGUCUUUUAAAACUGCAAUUGAUUCCAUCCUGUCUGUCAAUGUCUUAAAACUUCAAUCAUCUUCCAUCCUGUCUGUCAAUGUCUUUUAAAACUGCAAUCGCCUUCCAUCCUGUCUGUCAAUGUCUUAAAACUGCAAUCAUCUUCCAUCUCUCAAAUUAACCUUAUAGUAAGUAUCAUGUAUAAUUUCAUUGAACAUAAAUAAAACAAAGAAUUGAAUAGAGUUGAGUGUUUCCCAUGUGGUAUUGGUGUGCUGGAUUUGACCUUCACUGGUAGCCUGGUAACAUACACUCCCAGGUCUUUCUCUGCCUCUGUGGUGGAUGGUGGAGUGUUUCCCAUGUGGUAUUGGUGUGCUGGAUUUGGCCUUCACUGGUAGCCUGGUAACACACACUCCCAGGUCUUUCUCUGCCUCUGUGGUGGAUAGUGGAGUGUUUCCCAUGUGGUAUUGGUGUGCUGGAUUUGGCCUUCCCUGGUAGCCUGGUAACAUACACUCCCAGGUCUUUCUCUGCCUCUGUGGUGGAUAGUGGAGUGUUUCCCAUGUGGUAUUGGUGUGCUGGAUUUGGCCUUCACUGGUAGCCUGGUAACACACACUCCCAGGUCUUUCUCUGCCUCUGUGGUGGAUAGUGGAGUGUUUCCCAUGUGGUAUUGGUGUGCUGGAUUUGACCUUCACUGGUAGCCUGGUAACACACACUCCCAGGUCUUUCUCUGCCUCUGUGGUGGAUAGUGGAGUGUUUCCCAUGUGGUAUUGGUGUGCUGGAUUUGACCUUCACUGGUAGCCUGGUAACACACACUCCCAGGUCUUUCUCUGCCUCUGUGGUGGAUAGUGGAGUGUUUCCCAUGUGGUAUUGGUGUGCUGGAUAUCCCCUCCCAAGGUGCAGGACUUUACAUUUUUCUUCAUUGAAUUGUAGCAGCCACUUUUUGCUCCACUCCUGUACCCUGGUGAGGUCUUCUGGUAGGAAAUCCAGUCAGUCGAGGGUUUAACAUCAGGUCACAUAUAAACACACGCACUACAAACUAAUAAUUUAUUCGCAUGUUAUUGGUCUAAAAAUCUUCAUCUUCUUAUAGUACAUAUGUGUAGAUAUAUUGACGGACAAGGGUGGCGGUGGAGCGAGGCAAGGAGGUCCAGCUACCACCUACAUACAACCCCUUCGCGGCGCUUAUACUAAUCCUACAUAGACUCCUGGAUAAAGAUAAUAUAUAAACGAUGGUAGUGAGAGUAAUAAACGCUGGAAGUCUGUGAGAAUAUAGAGCUUUUUGUCUCCCUCCCUCUCUCUCUUAGACAUGAACAUAUACUCUCUCUCUCUCGCCCUCUCCCCAACACAUAACCACGCACUCUCUCGCUCUCUUAAACAAGCACACACACUCUCGCUCUCUCUCCCUUAAACACACAUACACACAGCAACAUCAACCAUUGCCACACUUAACACCAAAACAUCAACAGUGCUAACCUUGCCCCCAGACCCAGACUCAGACCUCUCCAGCAGGCACCCCAAGCAGCUACUUAUGCCCAGUGGUCGGCAUGAUUCCGCUAACCAAUAAUUAGUGACAUAACUUUUCCUUAACUGAGCUAGUUUUCGCUAACUUAAGAAACUGUUAGAGGACCAAUUAGCUUCCGAUAAAUGUAGUUCCUCCUCCACUAACUUAAAGUCCACUAAAAGUUCAUACAGGUGUGGGCGGACACAGCACCAAGCCCCCAAGCUGCUGGCAAGGCCCUCGGUGCUAGGCUCAGAUAACGCAGUGCUAGCUAACAUUCUCUCUCUCUCUCUCUCUCUCUCUCUCUCUCUCUCUCUCUCUCUCUCUCUCUCUCUC